rnacentral:rRNA from 1 species
UGAGGAAUAUUGGUCAAUGGGCGCAAGCCUGAACCAGCCAAGUCGCGUGAGGGAUGACGGUCCUAUGGAUUGUAAACCUCUUUUGUCGGGGAGCAAGGCCCGCCACGAGUGGCGGGAAGGAGAGUACCCGAAGAAAAAGCAUCGGCUAACUCCGUGCCAGCAGCCGCGGUAAUACGGAGGAUGCGAGCGUUAUCCGGAUUUAUUGGGUUUAAAGGGUGCGUAGGCGGAAGGUUAAGUCAGCGGUCAAAUGUCGGUGCUCAACACCGGCCUGCCGUUGAAACUGGUCUUCUUGAGUGAGCGAGAAGUAUGCGGAAUGCGUGGUGUAGCGGUGAAAUGCAUAGAUAUCACGCAGAACUCCGAUUGCGAAGGCAGCAUACCGGCGCUCAACUGACGCUGAGGCACGAAAGCGUGGGGAUCGAACAGG